UGUUUAGUGGCGGACGGGUGAGUAACGCGUGAGUAACCUGCCUUGGAGUGGGGAAUAACACAGUGAAAACUGUGCUAAUACCGCAUGACAUAUUGGUGUCGCAUGGCACUGAUAUCAAAGAUUUAUCGCUCUGAGAUGGACUCGCGUCUGAUUAGAUAGUUGGCGGGGUAACGGCCCACCAAGUCGACGAUCAGUAGCCGGACUGAGAGGUUGGCCGGCCACAUUGGGACUGAGACACGGCCCAGACUCC
rnacentral:rRNA from 1 species